rnacentral:rRNA from 1 species
UACGAAGGGGGCUAGCGUUGUUCGGAAUUACUGGGCGUAAAGCGCACGUAGGCGGAUAUUUAAGUCAGGGGUGAAAUCCCAGAGCUCAACUCUGGAACUGCCUUUGAUACUGGGUAUCUUGAGUAUGGAAGAGGUAAGUGGAAUUGCGAGUGUAGAGGUGAAAUUCGUAGAUAUUCGCAGGAACAUCAGUGGCGAAGGCGGCUUACUGGUCCAUAACUGACGCUGAGGUGCGAAAGCGUGGGGAGCAAACAGG